ACUGUUUUCCCCUGGUCACAUAGCUCACUUUUCCAUUCUUUUUGGUUACAACUGAUCCUACAGGAAGAGUCACAUGGACCUGCUUGCUGAAAGCCUGGCUAGAGAUGGAAGUGGAGUCUGUUUGUAGUCAGGACCACAUCAGGCAAGAGGCACCACAUACAAUCCACAGAAGGCCAACUUCUCAACCAGAAGAGUCAGAAGUGCCUCUGGUGAUUGGUAGUGCCAAUCUGACACUACUACUCUGACAGUGCCAGAUCUGGAGCUCAGGGCUCUCGGGGGAGCAGGCAGGCACUUUAUCCCAGGUCCCUGGUGGCUGGGGGUAGGGGGCGGGUGACACGUGACACCGAUGGCUGCCAGGUGCACUCUAAUGAUUGUUUUCACUGAAGAAUUUUGGACUCCAUGCCAUACAAUUUUCAUCCUUUUUGCAAAAUGGAUGAUAAUUUGGGUCUGUCU
rnacentral:lncRNA from 1 species